rnacentral:rRNA from 1 species
CUUGACUCUGGGAUAAGCCUGGGAAACUGGGUCUAAUACUGGAUAUGACAUGUCACCGCAUGGUGGUGUGUGGAAAGGGUUUUACUGGUUUUGGAUGGGCUCACGGCCUAUCAGCUUGUUGGUGGGGUAAUGGCUCACCAAGGCGACGACGGGUAGCCGGCCUGAGAGGGUGACCGGCCACACUGGGACUGAGACACGGCCCAGACUCCUACGGGAGGCAGCAGUGGGGAAUAUUGCACAAUGGGCGGAAGCCUGAUGCAGCGACGCCGCGUGAGGGAUGACGGCCUUCGGGUUGUAAACCUCUUUCAGCACGGAAGAAGCGAAAGUGACGGUACGUGCAGAAGAAGCGCCGGCUAACUACGUGCCAGCAGCCGCGGUAAUACGUAGGGCGCAAGCGUUGUCCGGAAUUAUUGGGCGUAAAGAGCUCGUAGGCGGUUUGUCGCGUCUGCUGUGAAAGCCCGGGG